UGCGCAGUGGUGAAUGUGGCUUAUGUCAUAGC
rnacentral:piRNA from 1 species